rnacentral:SRP_RNA from 1 species
GUCACAAUGGUUAUCAUGUAGGAAUGCAAGAUACACCUGGUUCGAUAAUGAAGAACGCAUUGGUCCAGGGCGGAAACGCAGCAGGCAAAAGGC